rnacentral:rRNA from 1 species
UAAUUUUUUUGGCACGAGUUGUAGAGUGUAGGCGGGAGUCUUUGUGGAGCACGGUGUCCAAGUCCCUUGGAACAGGGCGCCUGAGAGGGUGAGAGCCCCGUGGGGUGCCGUGCGAAGCUCUGAGGCCCUGCUGACGAGUCGAGUUGUUUGGGAAUGCAGCUCCAAGUGGGUGGUAAAUUCCAUCUAAGGCUAAAUACUGGCGAGAGACCGAUAGCGAACAAGUACUGUGAAGGAAAGAUGAAAAGCACUUUGAAAAGAGAGUGAAACAGCACGUGAAAUUGUUGAAAGGGAAGGGUAUUGGGCCCGACAUGGGGAGUGCGCACCGCUGUCUCUUGUAGGCGGCGCUCUGGGCGCUCUCUGGGCCAGCAUCGGUUCUUGCUGCGGGAGAAUGGGUGCCGGAAAGUGGCUCUUCGGAGUGUUAUAGCCGGCGCCAGAUACCGCGUGCGGGGACCGAGGACUGCGGCUUCUGUCUCGGAUGCUG